rnacentral:rRNA from 1 species
AUACGUAGGGUGCGAGCGUUGUCCGGAAUUACUGGGCGUAAAGAGCUCGUAGGUGGUUUGUCGCGUCGUCUGUGAAAUUCCGGGGCUUAACUCCGGGCGUGCAGUCGAUACGGGCAUAACUUGAGUACUGUAGGGGAGACUGGAAUUCCUGGUGUAGCGGUGACAUGCGCAGAUAUCAGGAGGAACACCGGUGGCGAAGGCGGGUCUCUGGGCAGUAACUGACGCUGAGGAGCGAAAGCAUGGGUAGCGAACAGGAUUAGAUACCCUGGUAGUCCAUGCCGUAAACGGUGGGCGCUAGGUGUAGGGGUCUUCCACGACUUCUGUGCCGUAGCUAACGCAUUAAGCGCCCCGCCUGGGGAGUACGGCCGCAAGGCUAAAACUCAAAUGAAUUGACGGGG